AGCCGCAGCAGGCACCUCGUGCCCUGACAUCCCGCAUUGCGCAUGCGCAACACGGCUCCUGAUGCUGCCCCCUCCAGACCCUUGUGCCCUAGCAGCCCGCAUUGCGCAUGCGCACCACCGCUACUGACGCCCUCCCCCAGGCCACGCCUCCAACGGCCGCCCGGCCCCGCCCCUAACGGCCGCCCCGCGCAACUCGCGCUCCAGAGGCGGCGCCCAAGGCCGCGGCCCCAGCCUCUCUGCUGUUGAGCCUCACAGUGUCUCAUGGAUUGAUGAGUCCACUCCGAGAUAUCAACAGCACUUCCCAGGUGGUGGUUGUAAUGCAAGGUGAAGAGUGUUCUGCAAGUGGCUCCUUUUACUUAGAAGAUGGACCGUGAGAGCCAAGGUUUGACCCCUACUGCCACAGCCAGCACAACUGAGUCAGUGCCGGAGAGGAAGUGAGCUGCACCAGGAAACGUUCCCUGGAACUUGGAGGAAGCAGGGACCAAAGUGAGACUCUGUUAAAUUCCUGUUCUUCCCCUGGGGUAAUGUCUCUGUGUGCUGCCCUGACCCUGGGCUGUUAAUAAGAUGCUAACCGGCAUAUUACUAAAUCACACAAUGCUCGAAAUCCCA